rnacentral:lncRNA from 10 species
GGGAGCUUAGAUGUGGAAGCUCUUUGGAAACCAAGAAACACUCUGAAAAUGAAAAGGGUGGAAGAGUAAACUGUUCCUGUUUCUCCAUCUUGACAGGAAGCAGAAGUUCUCCUUAGCUGAUUUUUCUUCUUGCCUUAUACUGGGUUCUUUAACACCAGAACAAAAAUAAAUAAAUAAAAGAAUCUUCCAGAAAUUCAUGAAGAGACUUCAGGUCAGGAAAGCCUGAACUUUCUCAUCCAACACCCGUUCAAGUCGGAGGAUGCUGAUUAAUUCAUGAUGGAAAGGUAUCAAUUUCACAGCCCAGACCUCUACAUUCUUGAAAUGCUCUUCUCAUGGGAGACAUUAAAUAAGCUUUGAAUUAACUCUCUUCUUGGACUAAAAGGCCCUCAGCAUUCCUGUCAAUUUCUACACUCCUGAAGCUUCAUCUGGAGACCUCUGUGGAUUCUAUAACUCAAAGACCCAGGCUGACGGCUGGUGGAAUAGCUACCAUCUCAAACAUGGCGUGAUGCUGCAUCAGAGAGAAAAAUAAGCUCUUGCAUUGACAAUGAAAUGUCUACCCUGUAGUGACUUGUGCUUACUUCCACUCACAAGUGAUUGCCCAGAGCUACUUACCUGGCUCC